GCCUACGGCCAUACCACCCUGAGAACGCCCGAUCCCGUCUGAUCUCGGAAGCUAAGCAGGGUCGGGCCCGGUUAGUACUUGGAUGGGAGACCGCCUGGGAAUACCGGGUGCUGUAGGCA
rnacentral:rRNA from 1 species